rnacentral:rRNA from 1 species
GAUGAACGCUGGCGGCGUGCCUAAUACAUGCAAGUCGAGCGAACGGACGAGAAGCUUGCUUCUCUGAUGUUAGGGGCGGACGGGUGAGUAACAGGUGGAUAACCUACCUAUAAGACUGGGAUAACUUCGAGAAACCGGAGCUAAUACCGGAUAAUAUUUUGAACCUGAUGGUUCAAAAGUGAAAGACGGUCUUGCUGUUACUUAUAGAUGGAUCCGCGCUGCAUUAGCUAGUUGGUAAGGUAACGGCUUACCAAGGCAACGAUGCAUAGCCGACCUGAAAGAGUGAUCGGCCACACUGGAACUGGGACACGGACCAGGCUCCUACGGGAGGCAGCAGUAGGGAAUGUUCCGCAAUGGGCGAAAGCCUGGCGGAGCGACGCCGCGUGAGUGAUGAAGGUCUUCGGAUCGUAAUGCUCUGUUUUGAGUGAAGAACAUAUGUGUGAGUAACUGUGCACAUCUUGACGGUACCUAAUCAGGAAGCCACGGCUAACUACGUG